CACACUGGAACCGCAGUACCUGUUAAAGUGGAGGAAACGAGAACCAACCGGCUUCACCGGGGGGCGGAGCCUGUAGACACGGGGUAAAUGUCACUCAGACUAAAAUACUGUUUUUUUUUGUUUGUUUGUUUGUUUUUUUUAAUCGUCAUGGCGCACUGAGGGACAGCGCGGCGGUAGUGCUUUGUUUAUAUUAUUUUUGCGCUCGUGGCCUAAAAUGCCUUCAGCUUUGUAAAAAAAAUCAACAAGAUUUUCUUAUUUUUCUUAUUGGUCGUGGGGCAUCGAGGGGGGGGGGGGGGUGUUGCUGCAGCAUUACUAAACCCCGCCCUCAGCCCCCCGGGGAAAAAAAAAAAAAAACUAAACACAAGACUAGAGCAGUCGGGAGAAUGAAAGCCAAGCACACUUCUGAAAAGAGGAAUUCUGAGUCACUUGUAUCAUUCCCUAAUUUUGUUACGGAGAGUCGCUGUCCCGUGUGACAGGUGUGAUGCUGUGGUGUGAACCGAACAAACAGCGAUAAAGGUUUUUGUUUAACCGUUACUUGCUGCUUUCUGUCAUUCCUGUACCGUCGCUGCACGUUUGUCUCGUACGUCGUUCUCUUUCUCCGUCGCGUUGAGAAAAAGAUUCUUCUGUCCCGCUCUCAAGAAAGGGACAGAAGAAAAAAAUGUUUUAAUUCAGUUCAGCUGUAUCAAAUGUACAGUGGAAGCCCUUUUACGACAAAUCUGGCGGACGUCUGAACUUGUAUCCACCGGAAACGUGAUCUAAUAUUCCGGUCUCUGCCUCAGGCUUGUGUAACUUUGGACUGUCGGAGUCACACAUACUCCCAUAUACCUGUUUUCUAAACAUUGCCUUCGAUUGAGGAACCUCAUUCACAUUAUUUCAAAGGAUCGAGUGUCCCUUAAUGGCCUUAUUUGCAUCUUAAAUUCUCCCCGGGGAAAGGUCUACUUUCCUUUUGAUGGCUGCCUUUACUCUUGAAGUUCAGUGAGUGCCGGGUGCAGACUUUGUCUGACAGGAAGUUGCAUCAGCUUCGUUAACAUAAGUGGGCUUUUCAGGCGCUGUUUCACAAAAGCAUCACCCUGAAUAGUCUCCGGUGGGUAUUCUGCCCCCUUCGUGUUUACUUGGGGCACGGUACCCGCAGUGGGCUCAUUUGCCACCCCCCCCCUCCCAAAUCAGUUUGUAGCCAUGGUAACGCGUGAGGUUCUCCCCAGUUUUGGCGCUGUAGAGUCCCACCCUCGGAUAAUAAGAGAGACUGCUGUCGGUAAAGCUAAAUGCUAACGGCCCACAGAGUCAUUUACAGUCUGACAAUCUGUUAUGUCCCGAUUGACCAGGAAAAAUCACAUCCCUGUUUGGAGUCUGGAAGGCCUAGUGGACACACUACAUAUGUGCAUAUCAAUUAUCUUCUGGAAGCAGGGCCAGACAGGCAGCUGCCUCGCUGCUCAUGAAUAUCCAUGAGCACCUGUUUUCACCAGGAGUCCACAGCAUCAACAAGACAGGGAGAGAGCUUUGUUUUGGAGGGAAGGUUCACUUUUUGUUUUGUUUUUUUUUAACAUUUUUUAAAUAUUAUUUCAGUUUUAGUCUUUGUUUUCCAUUGGUCCAGACAGUCCUUGAGAGCUGUGGAGGACACUUUAGAUGCUUACAGAAGUCUGGGAUGACCAGUGAGCUUUACAGUGGCUGGUAUUGGGGCCUUCAGGGUUCUUGGUCUAUAACAAGAACAUACACUCCAAAGCGGCAAAACAUACACCGAAACUAAAAUAAUAUAUAUUUUUUUUAAAACGCCAGAAAACGAGCCAUCUUUUUAAGUGUUAAUGUGCUGAGAGUCACACUGUUUUCUCUCUUCCCUCAGUCUUGAGCAUGCUAUUCCCUCCUUUUCUCUUUCCCUUCUCCCUUUCCUUUCAUCCUCGAUUCCUCUCGUGACGCACUGUGAAUGCCGUAGCCCGAACAGGAAAGUCCGAAAAUUAAAAAACGAUACUUUACUUUCUGCUAAAGGAGUAAUUCUUUAGGAUGUAGCUGACGGCUAUUUGAGUUAUGUACGUAUUUUAAAGAAAAUGACAUGAAAUAAAGACAUUAAGAUGGAAAAACUGGGGGGUGGGGGAUGGGUGUCAAAUUCGAGUGUUGAAAGUGGUCGUAGUGUCUGGGGUACUUCAGUUUGUUUUAAUGCUCCGCUGUGACUCGAGACACUGAAGAUAAGGGCUUGGGGGAUUGUGAUGUCAUUGCUGAAAGUCUGACAAAAAAAAAGGAAAAAGCACACCUCUGAAUUGGAGCAUCUGGGUGACGGGCGAUGUCAUUAUUAGCUGAAAGACAGCUGCUGUCCCUUAUGGUGAAGAAUGAUCGUUGUCAUCCUAUGUUCUCAAACGGCAAUUAUCGCAAACACAUAACACAUAACCCCUCAAAUGUAUUUUACAUGGUUAUCGGGACUUAAAGGCUAUUGUACUGGCGAUUAGUAGACUGGAUUGGAAGCUUGCCAAAUGGUAAUGAAUCCACAAAGAUUGUAUAUGUAGGCAACGCAUUGGGAUGAAGUGUAGUUAAGGGUUUUGUUGAGCUGGGGCACACAGUUUUGCUGGUUGAACGCAUCUUGUUUUCCAGUGACUCUAAUUGCUGAACCAGGAGAACCGUCUAAUAAUGACCUCGCAGUGAUGAACCGUGCUGGUUUUCAGUUGGUCUAGCUGUGAGGGGUGAUUGGUGGAGACGGUGAGGGUUAGGGUUAGGGUUAGGUUGUGUCGAAUAAGGGCUUUUCCCAGAGGCAACUCCUAAGUGGCCAGAGUACUGUGCAUUGACCGGUCUUGCAUUAGCUGUGCACUGAAGCAGGGGGCUGGAGAAAUGGAGAACAGGGACUCGUUUCCAUAGUCCUGUCAGGUUAGGAACAGGCAGUCAGUAAAUGUACCCGUUCCACAGCUGCGCAAGCUGUCCUGUAAAAAGGGAAGUGCUUAUCUUGUGCCACAAGGGCGCUGGACAGUUUUUACCCACAUCGUUUCUCCAGAAUCUUCCCCCACCCCACACACACACUCUCUCGCACCCCUGUCCCAAACACACACCGCUAGGUUGCUGAGGUUUCCCCUGAGUCCUCUCUCCUUUCUGCAUCAAUGUGACAUUCCUUGUUCAAUGCUCUCCCUCAUCCAAUGGAUCACUCUUGAUAAAUGUCUACAUUUCAUUUUGAGCUUACAACUAUUUUCUCUAAUUCAGUAUUCAGGCUACACAAAUGGGGGGGAAAGGAAUUGAACAAAUAUAAAAACCUGUUAUCAUGCGUUCCAUUCUCAACAUUUUAUUUUUUGCUAAAAAAAGUACCCAAAUGUCCGAAAUUCGUCGACCAACGGUUGAGUUAGGGUUGAGUUAAGACCAGGACUUGGUUCGCUUCUCUUGUCGUACGACAGCGCUUCAACUUGUCGUGACUCAUUCUCCGGAUUCAAUAAAAUUGCAUUUUUAACCCAUUUGCCUCUUGUGUUCAUUGCACAGUUAAUUUUUCAGUGAUCGUGCGUGUUGUGGAAACAAGCUGUCUGGCGUCCUCCUGUCCAAGAAGAGUAGCUACUGUCUGCACUCAGUCAUUCUCCCUUUUGUCCACAAAUUGAAGUUCUAGAAUAUACGCACGUUCGGGUGGGGGCGGGGCGGGACGGGAUUGAUGUGCAGCGGAAGCAGUAUCGGAAAGCACCCAUCACAUCUGUUUUUAUUUGGAGGCUCUAGUAGCUGAAGGUAGGCGGCAGGCGGCUGUCCCCGAUUCCACGGUCGGAUCUUCGUCGCAGCAUUUUUUCCAUCAUGCUGGAUAUUUUGGUUUUAAUGUUUUUCGCCGUUAUUGGCCUGAGCUUCCUAUCUUACAUUAUUUACAUGCUUUGAGGAGUUGGUCGACACUGGGUGAUCGCGAGAUCGCUAGAAUGACAACCACUGAUGCGCAUUGGGGUUUUUUUUGUCAGUUUUCUUUCGGGUUUUUAGCAGCGUAGAUCCCCUAGGCAAAGGGUAGCGACAGCAUCUGGCUGGAUGACCAGGUGGGGGAGAGGGAGGGAUGAGGGUCUCGGCCUACAUGGGUGGAGAGGCAGCCCUCUCUCCCCCUGAAGAUCCUUCCCCUCCAGGACCUACAAACGGUUCCCUCCUCUUCAGCGUACUCACCCGUAACCUCAGCCCGUUCUGUGAGCUCCAUCCUGUCUUCACGCGUGUGGCUACAGUUUCUGCACAACAUCUGUACACUACUCCGGUCCCGGGGAGCCGAUGUGUGUCCCGGUUUUUGUUCCAACCAGACGGCUGAACACACGGCGUUGGUUCGCUCCUGUACACGCUGGAUUAAGCGGUUUGUGCUAAUUAAAUGGUUUGGGGCCGAGGUUGGUGUGAAAUCGCGAAAAUGGUCGGACUUCGCUGUGCACCACUUCUCGUUUUGCUUCGGUAGCUAGCCUUCGAUUGUUUUUUUUUUUUAAGCUGUCGGUGGGAGAGUCCUGCUGUCUGUUGUGUUGUGUGAAGGGGCGGAGACCACAAACACAGUUUAAGUAAACAACCACACCAUAGAGGCCACACAGGGCACCUCUGACCACAGCCUACACAGUAGAAUCCGAAUUUGUGAUACUGAACAGUGUAAUUCCAUUCCUCUUACUCCGCAACUUGUUUUCCAUAAUGUGCUUUUUUCGUUACCGUGAAUGCACGCUUCCCACUGCAAGUAAGUUCAUAGUCUGAAAGAGGAAUUUUUAUGGACAAUCUAAGAGCUACAUUGGACCCUGUCGUUUUUAUAUGACUGAUGCACUUUAUCACUCAGUUGAGUCUGCUGUUAGGUUGAACAGUAAGUACAAAUGGCAUUUUGUUUUAUGUUUUAUUGAAAAGCUGGUGUAAUGGGGUAAGGUUGGGGGGGUUGGGGAGCUUCUGCAAUGUUCCUCUUCUCCAGACAGGGGGGUCUGACAUUGUUUACCCAACCGCUGGAUUUCUGUUUCCUGUCCUGUUCCCUCCACUCUACAGGUUUUUGCCAUGGCUGGGAUGGGAUUGCUCAGUGAAACAAACGUAAUGCCAUUUGCAGCUGUAGCAGGAAAUAUAGUUUUGCUUUAAAUUUGCACUGAAUGAUUCAAUUUUAUUCCCAGUUUUUUCCAAGCAUGUUUGAGUAACAUCGUGUAGGCCUAAUUUAUGUAGUAUGCACUUCACAUUUCCCCUCUUGUCCUAUUCUCUCUCUGUCAUUCCUUCUAUUGAACAUAAUAAAUACACAUUCCAAAAUAACAAUAUCACUAAUUUCUCAGUUGUAUUAAAUAUACAGUAUAUUCUGUACUAAUAAGCACAAAUGUUUUACAGUAAUGAAUCCUUUUUUGUGAUUCUGACCCCUUGACCUGUCUUGACACACAGUGGCUUGUAAUAAAUCAAUUGAUCAAUCUUUAUUUCGUAUUACUGCCUUUUACAGUCGUGGUUUUCAAUGCUUCGCGUUGGAUAUCUUCCCAAAGGAAAUAAAACCCCCUGGAAAAG